UCAUCUCAUCAAGAAGGCAAUGGAUCAACUCACAUCAACACAAGAAGAAGGGUGGCUAUAGAACAAUAAGAUAAUUUUGGGGCAGUGGUUCAACAGCCCUCACUUUGGCAAAGGUCCCAGGCCCAAGUUGAGAAAGAGCUGGGGGUAGAAUACAGCACUGAAUGAAUGAAGAGGAUGCACUGAAAUCAGGCCAGAGGUUGCUGGAAGGAGCAAUGAGGAACACCAGCAGCAAUAAGGAGCCGGUGAUGAUUUUGGCUUCACAGGGAGGUGUGUACCACACCGAUUUUAUCUCUACGUGGAUGAACCACAGCUGUCAGCUCCCUUGUCUCCGGGACAUCACACUCUCCACAUUCCCUCCCACCUUCUGGCUUCUGCUUCCCAGGGGCCCUCAUCUGCCCCGUCCUGGGUGAACACCGGUGAGUCAACUGCUGGGCGUGCCUUCCCGCUCUGCACACCCUCCCUGGCCACCCUACCCACUCCCACAGCUCGCACUGCAGACAAGCCGCAUCUCUAGCUCCAGCCCAUCUGCCUCUUCUGAGCUCUAAAUUCAUGCAGGUGAAAUCCUGCCGGUGUUGCCUCAGAGGCCCAUCGUACUUCUCAAGCAUUUUCCCCUCAGAACGCAUAUCCAGAAGAUGCAUCUCUUAAGCACAUCCCCGUGGCUCUCACCUGGAUGACUGCAUUCGCCUUCUCCCACAUUUGCCCCCUCCUUUGGAAUUUAUAUAGAUUGUUUUAAAACACAAAUCCAAUGUGCUUGCUCUCCUGCACCUCAAAACUGCCUUCAGGAUAAACCACUGCCCUUAACAUGUUCACAGGUUGCCCAUGGCCUGGCCCUGCCCAUCUCUUCAGCCUCAUCUCAUGUCCCUUGCCCCUCGCUCUCUGGGCUUCUGCCUCCCGGGCCCUCCUUUAGGUUCUCUAACACACCAUAGUCCUUCUAGUGUUGGGGCCUCUGCACGUGCUGUUCCCAUUGCCUGAGACAUGAAUCCCUCUCCCUAUCUCUACCUGCACCUUCAUCUGAUUAAUCCCUACCCUUCCUAUCCAUGAUGUUGCUUUCUCAGGGACUCUUUCUGACUUUUUAAACUAAUCAGGUUCUCCCCGGUACAUAUCUUCAUAGCACCUUGUAUUACUCCUUUCUUAAUGACCACCUGCUAUAGACUGAAUGUCUGUGUCCCUCCAAAAUUCCUAUGUUAAAAAUUAGUCCCAAAUGUGAUAAUAUUUGGAGGAGGGCUCUUUGGGAGGCAGAGCCCUCAUGAAUGGGAUUAGUAGCCUUAUAAAAGAGACCCCUGAGGGAUCCCUUGUCCCCUCCACCAUGUAAGGAUGCAACAAGAAGGUAUGGUCUAUGAUACAAAAAGCAGACCCUUGCCAGGUGCCCAAUAUGCUGGCACUUGAACUUCCCAGCCUCCAGAACUGUGAGAAAUAAAUUUCUAUUGUUCA